AGCGAACGCUGGCGGCAGGCUUAACACAUGCAAGUCGAACGAAGCCUUCGGGCUUAGUGGCGGACGGGUGAGUAACACGUGGGAAAGUACCUUUUGGUUCGGAACAACUCAGGGAAACUUGAGCUAAUACCGGAUGAGCUAUGAGGGGGAAAGAUUUAUCGCCGAAAGAGCGGCCCGCGUUAGAUAAGCUAGUUGGUGAGGUAAAGGCUCACCAAGGCAACUACCUAUAGCUGGUCUGCGAGGAUGAUCAGCCACACUGGGACUGAGACACGGCCCAGACUCCUACGGGAGGCAGCAGUGGGGAAUCUUGCGCAAUGGGCGAAAGCCUGACGCAGCCAUGCCGCGUGAAUGAUGAAGGUCUUAGGAUUGUAAAAUUCUUUUACCAGGGACGAUAAUGACGGUACCUGGAGAAAAAGCCCCGGCUAACUUCGUGCCAGCAGCCGCGGUAAGAC
rnacentral:rRNA from 1 species